rnacentral:rRNA from 1 species
CGGAAGGUCCAGGCGUUAUCCGGAUUUAUUGGGGUUUAAAGGGAGCGUAGGCCGGAGAUUAAGUGUGUUGUGAAAUGUAGACGCUCAACGUCUGACUUGCAGCGCAUACUGGUUUCCUUGAGUACGCACAACGUUGGCGGAAUUCGUCGUGUAGCGGUGAAAUGCUUAGAUAUGACGAAGAACUCCGAUUGCGAAGGCAGCUGACGGGAGCGCAACUGACGCUUAAGCUCGAAGGUGCGGGGUAUCAAACAGGAUU